UGGAAUAAUAUUAUCUUCUCCAUUACAUCUUGAACAUUGAUGAUCUGGGUAAUUGUGUCCAAUUAUUUUACAAUAUCUUGUUAGUAGUACGUCUGAAAUAAAUCCUUUUUUAAUUGCUCUUGCGGUAGAUUGUUUUUCUGGGUUGAGUAAUGUCAUUAUCCAUUGUCUGACAUCCUCCAUAUCUGCUUGACGUAGCUCUUUUGAAUUAGAGUAAAUCAUUUGAUGAUCUCUCGAAUAAUAGCUCCAUAUUGGGUUUCCAUUAGUAUAAUUAUUUGCUAGUUCUUGAAUAAUCGUAGCUAGUCCAAUAAGUC
rnacentral:lncRNA from 1 species